CGCUGCUGCUUCUUCUUCUUCUUCGUUUGCUGCCUGCCUUCAAAAAAUAACUCUAGGAUACACAAAAAGACACGCCGUGGCCAUGUUGCUGUAUGUGUGUGUGUGCGUGUGCGUGUGUGCGUCUGCUUAGCACAAAGGUGAAACUUUGGCUCGCAGGACGACUUGCUGUUGUUGUUGCUGCUGUUGUUGUUGUUGCUGACUGGCUGUUGAUAUAAUCAUGAGAGCACGAAUUUGGCUUAAAAAGCGAACGACAAAUUAACGACGAAACGGGGGAGGUGCGGAAACGCUUCUACGACUUCUUUUACACACAAUUUUUCGCAAUACACACACAUCCACAGCAAGCAAACGAACGAACUAAAAAGAAAAUAAAAA
rnacentral:sRNA from 1 species